rfam:Methylocystis sp. SC2 complete genome
GGCCUCGUGGCGGAGUGGCUACGCAGAGGACUGCAAAUCCUUGUACGGGGGUUCGAUUCCCUCCGAGGCCU